CAUAAGCGACGAAAAAAAAUCUGAUUUUAUGCCCUGGGCGACACACGUGCUACAAUGGGCGGGACAAAGGGUCGCGAUCUCGCGAGGGUGAGCUAACUCCAAAAACCCGUCCUCAGUUCGGAUUGCAGGCUGCAACUCGCCUGCAUGAAGCAGGAAUCGCUAGUAAUCGCCGGUCAGCCAUACGGCGGUGAAUCCGUUCC
rnacentral:ncRNA from 1 species